rnacentral:ncRNA from 2 species
UUAAAGCGCUGCGUCACCGGUGCCUCUCGCAAGAGGGGUGAAACGGGAAUGCGGUGCGGGACGAUGUCCCCAAGCCGCAGCUGCCCUCGCAACUGUAAGCGGAUCACGACGUCCUUGAUGCCACUGGCCGAUCGGCCGGGAAGGCGGACGAGCGAUACAUCCGCGAGCCAGGAGACCGGCCGGUGACGUUGAGCCAAC